UGCGUAGGCGGAAAAUUAAGUCAGUGAUGAAAUCCUGCAGCUUAACUGUAGAACUGUUAUUGAUACUGAUUUUCUUGAAUUCAGUUGAGGUAGGCGGAAUGUGUAAUGUAGCGGUGAAAUGCUUAGAUAUUACACAGAACACCGAUUGCGAAGGCAGCUUACUAAGCUGAUAUUGACGCUGAGGCACGAAAGCGUGGGGAGCGAACAGGAUUAGAUACCCUGGUAGUC
rnacentral:rRNA from 1 species